CUAUUGAACAGCUUUCAAUCAUUCCAGAUCCGGCGGCAACCAGGAAACAAUGCGACAAGGUACCAGCUUGUCCCACAACACAACCACCUACCACUCCACAAGCAACUACCACCCAACCCACCACCACACAACCCGCCACUACACACGCUGCCACCACACCAGCUCAUGUCACCGCACAUCCUUCUACUAAAUCCAUGUCAGCUCCUCCUGGCCAGUUUGUUGUUCCACAUUUCUCGACUGCUGGUUCGUAUCUCCAGUUUGAUGCGCUUGGCUCCUCUUGUGGAUUCUUGUUGGAGAUGAGUUUUACGGUCACGGGUAGUGAUGGCAUUAUGUUUUAUGCUGAUGAUGUGGACAGUGGGGACUUUGUGGCUUAGUCAUAUGAGAACAGAGUUGUAGUGUUGAGAGUUAAUGAUGGCAGUGGGACUGUGACUGUUGAAUCUGAAGGCAAGAAAUUAAAAAAAGGUGAACAAUUCAAAGCCGUCGUUUCAAUCAAGAAAUCGACAAUUACACUGAACGUUGAGAGUCGUAAACGUGCUACGAAAAAUCGAGGUCAAAGAGAGAGGUUCAUACUCACUAAUGUUUUUGUUGGAGACAUUCCUAGUGAUCAACAGACUAUUGAUGAUGCGCAAGUCGUUUGUGGUUUCAAGGCUGCGUUCACUUGCUCAACAUCAACGAACAAGACAUCGACUUACAGUCCUUUGCAGCAUCGAAUUCCGUGUUUCAGUGUGGUGAUAGGCCACCAGAUGAUGUACACAUCAUCUGCUGAGAAAACCACAACAACACAAGCAUCCACAGCUACACAACCACCUCUUCCAUUGGGCACUCUUUCUUUUGCUGCUGCCUCUUACCUUGCAUUUGAUUCUCUUGAAGACUUGCAGUCAUUUGUACUCGACAUGGAGUUUAUUGUUACUGGGAAUGACGGACUGAUGUUUUAUGUUGCGAAUAAGAAGAGUGGAGAUUUUAUAUCGGCUUUGUACUUGGAGAGACGCAUAAGAAUGAGUGUAAACAAUGGAUCUGCAGCAUUGCA